UACGGAGGGGGCUAGCGUUGUUCGGAAUUACUGGGCGUAAAGGGCGCGUAGGCGGCCUUCUAAGUCGAACGUGAAAUCCCUGGGCUCAACCCAGGAACUGCGUCCGAUACUGGAAGGCUUGAAUCCGGGAGAGGGAUGCGGAAUUCCAGGUGUAGCGGUGAAAUGCGUAGAUAUCUGGAGGAACACCGGUGGCGAAGGCGGCAUCCUGGACCGGCAUUGACGCUGAGGCGCGAAAGCCAGGGGAGCAAACGGG
rnacentral:rRNA from 1 species